rnacentral:tRNA from 1 species
GCCUCGGCGAGCGUCGCCGCCGCGUACGGCUCCUCCGCGGUGCCCGCGGCGGCCUUCGCCGCGGCCCAGUAGCGGAUCGUCCCCGCUGCCAUGGCGCCA